GUCGGAUACUUCUUUCCGGAUUCCACGCACAAGGAACCUCGGCUGUGAGCCAGCAGGAGGAGGCUGGGUAGUGCAGUGACUGGGGCCCCGACUGGGUUCUAUUGUCAGCUCUUAAAACUGACUCACAGCGUGAGCUGAAGGAGUCAUAAAGACUUUGGGCCUCUUGUGAAUGGCAACAAUUCAUCAUAAGAUGGAUGGGAGGAUGAAAUGAGGCAGUACAGGGAAAGCACUUAGUAAGUGCUCAUUAAACACCAUUAUCACUCCAGCUCUGCCAUCAAUCCCUGGGGGCCUUGCCAGGUUCUUUGAUGUUUCUGGCCACAGUUUACCCAGAGCUCUCCUAGCUGCUGUGCAGUGGGGAUGGUGAUGACCAGACUCUGGCUACAGCUUUUGCCUUUGUCUGUGUAGCACCUUUAGUGUUUUGGCCAGUGGUCAGGGUAGCCUGGGUUCUAUGGGUGAAGCCUCCAAAUCUUUAGCCACUCUGUCCUGGGCAAAGAAAUCCAGAGGCAAUGCCAGGAUAGAGCUGCCAAGUAUUCCCUGGUAGGGGGGAAUGGACCAGCAAUCUCCAAGAGUGAAUGGAACCAGCUCACCCUAGAAGUGCUCUCAGACACUUGAUAAUGCUCCCAGUGACUGGAACAAAAUAAAAGACUGUGGGCUUAAUGCUGUACCAUUCACUCACCCUAUCCCUGCCACACCCCAUGAGGUAGGCACUGUAACUGCACUUACAGAGGAGGAACCUGAGUUUCUGAGAGAACAAAGCACCAGCUCCUAUUACAAAGGGCAGACUUGUGAGGACUGAACUGUGGAUCAGAGAAUGGGAACUCAGGAGACCCUGCUUCAUGAUUACCUUUGCUCCUCGCAGUCACCCUCUGAGGUCAGCGCUGUUAGGCAUUUUACCCACAUGGAGGCCAAGGCUUGGAGAGGUUAAGGAACUCCCUUGAGAAUGUCCAGCUGGCCAGUCUGAGAGUAGGGCCUCUGCAUUCUCACCCUGCCUGGAGCUGAACCUGUCUGUUCUCGGGACCCCGCCAACCCGAACCUCCAGCUGUCUUAGGGUAAUGUGUGUGGCCAUGCGGUGUGUGGCCUGGUCAAGGAUCUCUGGCCCCUGAAGCUGGAGAAUGGCUGAGAGCAACAGGGUACAGAGCAAGGCCUUUACACAGGAAGCCUGAAGGCCUGCUGUCAGCCUGCCUUGUCAGCAUAGGCCUCACUUUGCUCCUCUCUCAAAUGGGAGGGUUGAAAUAAAUUAUUUCUCAUUUGGCUCCAACUCUGAGAGUCCCUAAUUUGAAAGUCCUAACUCCUUGGCCUUGAAUUGGUUUCAGGAUCCAGAGCCCAGGUUAAGGGUGGAUGUUCCCACUAUGAGCUUUGGGUUUGGGCUGGUGGGUCAGGAAACGUUUAGGAACCCAACAGCCUUCCAUCCCCAUCCAUCAUUCCCAAGGACUGAAGCUCAGAACCUCACAGUAGGGAAUGGGUACUAACUUCUGGUUAAAGGAAAUGAAACCAGAGCUGUUGUCAAGCCUCGGUUUUCCCCAGAAAUGUAACAAGGAAACAUCUAGAACAAAU
rnacentral:lncRNA from 1 species